GUUUCACCCCUUUUGGCGCUAGUGUAGAAAAGGGGUGGAUAUAAAAGGCACCUGGGUUUAUUGAUAAAUAAGCACAGCAGAAAACUCGCAUGCGGAGUGUGAGUUAAGAGCUUCAACACUGGGUUGGUGGGAGCAUAUAAACGAUGUGUCCAAUGGGCAAUGGAUGAUAAUGAACAUUACAUAUAUGAAAGAAAUCAUCUAGUGUAUCGUGUAUGUAAUGCACUGACAGAUUUUAGAUUUCUUUACCUACCAUGAAGGCGCCUCAGUCGAUCUGUCGGUGCCCGUACACCAAAAGACUAUCCUUUAGGACUCUACCUAACCGUUGGGUAGGGACUAUUGUUGUUUAAUACCCACCUUACAAAAAAAAGGUUACCCACUCAAACUGGAAAAUACCCAACCAUU